rnacentral:rRNA from 1 species
AACGAACGCUGGCGGCAUGCCUAACACAUGCAAGUCGAACGAGAUCUUCGGGUCUAGUGGCGCACGGGUGCGUAACGCGUGGGAAUCUGCCCUUUGGUUCGGAAUAACAGUUGGAAACGACUGCUAAUACCGGAUGAUGACGAAAGUCCAAAGAUUUAUCGCCAGAGGAUGAGCCCGCGUAGGAUUAGGUAGUUGGUGUGGUAAAGGCGCACCAAGGCGACGAUCCUUAGCUGGUCUGAGAGGAUGAUCAGCCACACUGGGACUGAGACACGGCCCAGACUCCUACGGGAGGCAGCAGUGGGGAAUAUUGGACAAUGGGCGAAAGCCUGAUCCAGCAAUGCCGCGUGAGUGAUGAAGGCCUUAGGGUUGUAAAGCUCUUUUACCCGGGAUGAUAAUGACAGUACCGGGAGAAUAAGCUCCGGCUAACUCCGUGCCAGCCGCCGCGGAA